rnacentral:rRNA from 1 species
UACGGGGGGGGCAAGCGUUGUUCGGAAUUACUGGGCGUAAAGGGCGCGUAGGCGGCCAUCUAAGUCAGACGUGAAAUCCCUAGGCUCAACCUAGGAACUGCACUCGAAACUGUUUAUCUUGAGUGCCGGAGAGGAAAGCGGAAUUCCUGGUGUAGAGGUGAAAUUCGUAGAUAUCAGGAGGAACACCAGUGGCGAAGGCGGCUUUCUGGACGGUAACUGACG